rnacentral:lncRNA from 1 species
CAUGACUACUGGGAAAACCAUAGCUUUGACUAGAUGGACCUUUGUCAGCAUUCAGCAGUAAUUUUACUACUAAAUUUUGAAUUUGUUUACCUGGUGCCUCCAACUAUACUAUUAACCUACCAAAGGACCAGAUUCAACUAGUUAAGAAACAAGAAUCAUUCACAUUGAUUCAGUUCUUUGCCUAUGUUCUGCAAGCCAAGAACACAAACUAAUUAAAAAGAGAAGAUGUCCUAAUAUAUCUCCAGCAGUUUCCCGUACAUCAGCUUAUCUGGGCCAACAGUAGUCCUGUGCAGAAAGCAGGAACAUUAUCCUCCCUUUUCUGCUGAGAAAACUAAGGCUUAGAAUAUCAGAUGGUUUUUCAAACUGGGGAGGAGAAUGGUUCUUCCUUCAUUUUUAACUUAUUUUUUAAAGUUUUCUAAAAAAUGUAUUUGCUGAGUGUUAGUUGCAGCACGUGGGAUCUUCAGUAUUCCUCGCAGCAGGCGGGAUCUUCUGCUGUGGCAUGUGGGAUCUAGUUCCCUGACCAGGGACCAAACCCUAGUGCCCUGCAGUCGUGGAGUCUUAGCCACUAGACCCCAAGAAGUCCCUCUUCCUGCAAUUUUCAAGCCUCUUGACUAGAACUCCUGCUGGAAGACACCAGGGGAAUCAUCUACUUCUAUUUUCCCAUUUUACAGAUGAGAAACUGAGACUCAGGUAGGUGCUGGACUUGACGGCAAUCACAUGGUCAGUAAACCAACGAGCUGAUGGAAGAGCCCGGCACCUGACUCCCAAGCCUGAAUUGAGUCAUCCUGUCCUUAUACACUGAGCUACAGCUGCUGUUAAUAAUUAAGGGUGGGUGGGUGUUACGGGUGGGUGAAUGGGGGGUGGGAGGGGAGGGGGUGAGUGUGCAGGGAUGAGGAUUCGGCAUUUCCCAGGUGGGGCUGGAGGCAGAGGUAGUCACAGGGCCUGGGGCUUACUUGGGCCCCUGACACAGCCCCUUGUGGGGCCACAGUUAGCCUCAGGGUUCCCCUUAAAUCUCCUGACACGGCAGUUAUUCCUUCAUCUCCCUUCUCCAGGCCCCCGCUGCUCCCUGACUGCCUUCUGCAUUCCGUGCUCUUGCUGCCCCGCUGUGGCUGAGCGCAUCCACUGCAGCACUGAUCGCACCUGUUCCUGGGGGAAAAUCGGAGAAGGCGGUGGCACUCCACUCAAGUCCUCUUGCCUGGAAAAUCCCAUGGACGGAGGAGCCUAGUGGGCUGCAGUCC